rnacentral:lncRNA from 10 species
GGACAAUAACAAUGCUGGGAUCCCCGCCUCUGCUGCCACUUUCCUCACCAGCAUGGAUCCUGCCCUCUCCUUUGUGUCACUCACUAAAGGCUCAAAGUCUGGUUCAAGGUAGAAACAAUUUUACGUGUCUCAGAAAGAACAAAGAGUUUAAGAUGGUGAUGCUGAGAUUCUGGACAAGAUGGACAUGGUGAUCUCUACUGGAAUCCGGGGACUGCUGUACUACGGUCAUAUACUACUGCUGGGGGCCUGGUGUUCCCGGGGUGCACU